GAGUUUGAUCUUGGCUCAGAUUGAACGCUGGCGGCAGGCCUAACACAUGCAAGUCGAGCGGAUGACGGGAGCUUGCUCCUUGAUUCAGCGGCGGACGGGUGAGUAAUGCCUAGGAAUCUGCCUGGUAGUGGGGGACAACGUUUCGAAAGGAACGCUAAUACCGCAUACGUCCUACGGGAGAAAGCAGGGGACCUUCGGGCCUUGCGCUAUCAGAUGAGCCUAGGUCGGAUUAGCUAGUUGGUGGGGUAAUGGCUCACCAAGGCGACGAUCCGUAACUGGUCUGAGAGGAUGAUCAGUCACACUGGAACUGAGACACGGUCCAGACUCCUACGGGAGGCAGCAGUGGGGAAUAUUGGACAAUGGGCGAAAGCCUGAUCCAGCCAUGCCGCGUGUGUGAAGAAGGUCUUCGGAUUGUAAAGCACUUUAAGUUGGGAGGAAGGGCAGUAAGUUAAUACCUUGCUGUUUUGACGUUACCGACAGAAUAAGCACCGGCUAACUCUGUGCCAGCCG
rnacentral:rRNA from 1 species